CCCGCGGCAAGACGGAAAGACCCCGUGAACCUUUACUAUAGCUUGACACUGAACAUUGAGCCUUGAUGUGUAGGAUAGGUGGGAGGCUUUGAAGUGUGGACGCCAGUCUGCAUGGAGCCGGCCUUGAAAUACCACCCUUUAAUGUUUGAUGUUCUAACGUUGGCCCCUGAUCGGGGUUGCGGACAGUGUCUGGUGGGUAGUUUGACUGGGGCGGUCUCCUCCUAAAGAGUAACGGAGGAGCACGAAGGUUGGCUAAUCCUGGUCGGACAUCAGGAGGUUAGUGCAAUGGCAUAAGCCAGCUUGACUGCGAGCGUGACGGCGCGAGCAGGUGCGAAAGCAGGUCAUAGUGAUCCGGUGGUUCUGAAUGGAAGGGCCAUCGCUCAACGGAUAAAAGGUACUCCGGGGAUAACAGGCUGAUACCGCCCAAGAGUUCAUAUCGACGGCGGUGUUUGGCACCUCGAUGUCGGCUCAUCACAUCCUGGGGCUGAAGUAGGUCCCAAGGGUAUGGCUGUUCGCCAUUUAAAGUGGUACGCGAGCUGGGUUUAGAACGUCGUGAGACAGUUCGGUCCCUAUCUGCCGUGGGCGCUGGAGAACUGAGGGGGGCUGCUCCUAGUACGAGAGGACCGGAGUGGACGCAUCACUGGUGUUCGGGUUGUCAUGCCAAUGGCACUGCCCGGUAGCUAAAUGCGGAAGAGAUAAGUGCUGAAAGCAUCUAAGCACGAAACUUGCCCCGAGAUGAGUUCUCCCUGAGACUUAGAGUCUCCUGAAGGAACGUUGAAGACGACGACGUUGAUAGGCCGGGUGUGUAAGCGCAGCGAUGCGUUGAGCUAACCGGUACUAAUGAACCGUGAGGCUUAACCUUACAACGCCGAAG
rnacentral:rRNA from 1 species